AUAUUCAAUAAUACACACUCAAAAAACACAGAAAAAAAAAAAAAAAAGACAUGGAUAACCCGUCUCAAGAAGAAAUGAUGGUAUCCCACAAGGCUGAGCCAUGGACGUUCAAACCGAAAACCGGAAGCGUUUUCCCUGUGAAGAAAAGAAAAAAAAAGACAUGGAUAACCCGUCUCAACAAGAAAUGAUGGAAUCCCACAAGGCUGAGCCAUGGACGUUCAAACCGAAAACCGGAAGCGUUUUCCCUGUGAAGAAAAGGUUAGUAAAAAGAAUGAUGCUUGAUCAAAUUGUGCAAUGUUUUUUUAUCUCUUGCAGACACUUCUGCUGGAGUUGGACCCUCUGAAACCUCAAAUGCCAAGAAGAUCGUCAGCAGCCACGUUUACCAUGGCCACCAUAUAGCAUAUGAGCCACCCAAUUAGUGCAAAUGUUUUGUAUUCUGCUAGUGAGUUCUUGGUGAUGCGUGUGUUGUAAUUUCAAUGACAUUCAAGUCAUAUAAUGCUGUGAUUGAUCUCUUUUUGAUCUUUCUAUCUGUUUUUAAUCAACUUUAUAAAUUCUAUAACUUGGGUUUGGCAA